GUCUUGUCAAUGAUGUUUUUAAACACAAAUGUCUGAACAAAUGAUUUCCUGUGAUUUCACUUUUGUUUCUGAGACAAGAC